GAUGAAGAACGUAGCGAAACGCGAUAUGUAAUGUGAAUUGCAGAAUUCAGUGAAUCAUCGAAUCUUUGAACGCACAUGGCGCCUUCCAGUAUCCUGGGAGGCAUGCCUGUCCGAGCGUCGUUUCAACCCUCGAGCCCCCGUGGCCCGGCGUUAGGGAUCUGCCACGGCAGGCCCCUAAAACCAGUGGCGGACCCGAAGGCCCUCUCCUUUGCGCAGUAGCAUCAGCCUCGCAUUGGGAUCCCUCGGCGUCCUGCCUCUAAACCCCCCACAAGUCCGCUCCGGCGGCACCAAGGUUGACCUCGGAUCAGGUAGGAAUACCCGCUGAACUUAAGCAUAUCAAUAAGCGGAGGA
rnacentral:misc_RNA from 1 species